UUUCUUCUGGUAUUUCUCCGUCCAUAGCUACUUCUCUAACUGCUUUUCUGAGAGCACGUGUGGUUCUUUCAAUUUCUGGAUCCAAUGGUAUUAACGUUGAUCCUGAACUACGCAUACACAAACAGAAAAUACAUCAGUAGCACUAUGAUAAACAAGGAAAUAAAACAAAAAUUAAAAGACUAAAAAAAUAAAAAUAAAAUUUGCAUAAAUGUCGUCUUGUUAAAAAAU
rnacentral:lncRNA from 1 species